rnacentral:rRNA from 1 species
AGAAUCAACGCUGGCGGCGUGCCUAACACAUGCAAGUCGAACGAGAAAGGGGAGCAAUCCCUGAGUAAAGUGGCGACCGGGUGAGUAACACGUGACUAACCUACCCUCGAGUGUGGAAUAACAUCGGGAAACCGAUGCUAAUACCGCAUAAUAUCGCAAGAUCAAAGGAGCAAUCCGCUUGAGGAGGGGGUCGCGGCUGAUUAGCUAGUUGGCGGGGUAACGGCCCACCAAGGCGAAGAUCGGUAUCCGGCCUGAGAGGGCGCACGGACACACUGGAACUGAAACACGGUCCAGACUCCUACGGGAGGCAGCAGUGGGGAAUUUUGCGCAAUGGGGGAAACCCUGACGCAGCAACGCCGCGUGGAGGAUGAAGCCCCUUGGGGCGUAAACUCCUUUCGACCAAGACGAUAAUGACGGUACUGGUGGAAGAAGCACCGGCUAACUCUGUGCCAGCAGCCGC